UAGUUCUAGGUGGCCUUUCCCAAAAGAACUCAUCAAAAUUAAAAAUGUUAUCUGUAACCGCGGUCGAGGACCUCACUCACCAGUCUUAUGCCUAUAGACCAAAUUUAACUAAAACUAUCCAGUGUAUUCUGCUGUAUCAUGUAUCAUGUCAUAACCCGAUGUUUGCUUUUGUCCUCGUUUGCUGUCAUGCAAACGAGCCGCUGAAUGACUGCUUGCAUCGAUUAUGGCAAUGCAUGAACUUGGGAAUUUGCUUUUUUGUCUGGCAACGUGGAUUUUCUAUGCAAAUAACUUUCUUGCUUUGCAGUAUGAACAAAAAAAACCCCAGCUCAUACCUGUAACUAAAUAUUUUACUUACAUAUUUUUCUGAGUCUAAAUAUGGGAAAGAUGUAACAAGAGCCAAACACUGGCACCAUACCUCCACCACAGCAACUGUGAGCCAACCUGAAGCAUGACGGUUGUAGUCAUCACCCCUCCACCACCAUGAAACAUUAAGUUCAACAUUUAACAUACUAACUGAGACCUGUAGAGUUUAAUAUGGAGCUGUGUUUUUGUUUUUCUUUUCCAAUCUCUCGAUUGUCUGGUUCAGUGAAUUUUCUAGGAUGUUCUCUCCUCUUCUGGGAGGACUAGCAAUUGUCUCAAAUGGCUUCCACGUAUCUUACUGAAGAGUAACAGAGUUUAUUGUUUUUUUGAAAUGUUCAUAUAAGUCUCCUCAGAUUCAUGGGCCACAGCAUUUUUCUUCUCUACCAACAUCAAAUCCUGAUCUGAAGUCUAUCCAAAUGCAGGUCCAUGUUCUCCCCUGGGAUGCGUGGCUUCUCUCUGGUACUUCCUCCCACAGUCCAAAAACUCGACUGUAAGCUCAGUCAGUUUGUCCUAAAACCUAAAACCUAACCCUGCAUGGUCCUGUGACAGACUUUCAGGAGUUGUGUUUGGCCCUUUAGUUCAAACGAAAGGUACUCUAAAGGCUGCAGUGUACCAACCCAUGUUGGUUUCUUCAUGUUCCCACAUGACUAAUCACUAAGUGCAGAAAUAAGGUCCAUUACAUCGAAGAUGAGCAAAGGUGUGUUCACACCAGGAAAGUCUUUUGGUCCGCUCGUUUUGCCUGGACCUAAAGCAGACUUUAUUUUCUGUGUUUGCUGCGGUUUGCGUUCACAUUAUGCUUUGUUAUAAAACGGAUUAUAUUACGGAUUCAACUUUAAAAAUGAUGUAGCUUUAUGUUAUGAAAGCUAAAGUUUAAUCCGUAAUACUUUCAUAACAAAUUUGCGUCAGAUCACGAUUUCUUGGUUAAUGACAAGUUGUCAUAACAAAGACAUUUUGAAUAAUGUCAACUUUGUAUUAAAAGUGGCAGGAUUUACCGAAUGGUACUUUAUGACAACAGUCAUAAAUAUUCAUGAAGACUUUACUCAUGUGCAUGAGUUCAGGUGUUAUGUCAUGUUUAUGACGGUGUCAUGACCGUCUUGUUCACGACCCGUCAAACAAAGCCCCACCAAAUGUUUG